CCGAACUGGUGAAACCCUGGGCGCCAAAGCAGAGCGCACAAACUUAACCACUCGGCCACAGGGCCGGCCCCCUACGGUUUUUCUAAUGAUGAAAUCAGGGUGGAGAUUUACACGUGCAACUUCUUAUGGCUUUGUUCCCCUCAACCCCUUGCUCACUCUGAUAGCUGUCUGGAAGGUUCAUCAUAAAGGUCAGACUCCCACAACAAAUCCUGCAUUUGGCUUCCAACCUCAAUAUUUUUAGGAUUUUCUCCUUUCUUUCUUUUUUGUUUCUUUGGGAGUACAGACUGACUAGCAUUUUAGUGCAGUUUAAGUCUCAGACCACUUCCUUGUUUUUCUUCUCUUUUGAAGCAAAGAAUGUGAUGAAAUCAUGCAGGAGAAUGCCCGGUAGAUUAUAGGAACUCUUUCCUAGUUUGCUUGAAUACAUUGUCCACCCCUUUCAGUAUGUUUGCAAAUUUACUCUAUUCUGAAGGUGGAGGUCAAGGAAUCAUUUCUAAAGUGACUCUAAAAAAGGACAGGAGACACAGAGAGGCCAUUUCAGAGGGUAAGGUGAGUCCAGAGAGAGGAAGCAGGGGUCAGGGCUUUGUGCCACUGGGUUUCUAAAGGAGAGAUGUCACAUCUUUAGGAAUUUCUGAUUCUUGCCUUGAAAUGACUGGCCUGGAAAUUUGAUCAGGCUCUUUCUUCUCUCACUCUCUUAAGGGCUACCCUUCUUUGGGAGCCCCAACAAAUGUUAAUUUGUACAGAAUCUAAGAGACUGGUAGAUUGCAAGAUUGGAUUUACUUUUCCCUGUAUGCAUGCUCAUUAUAAUGUAAUUUUGCAAUUUUCACACCAAAGGGUAGAGUCAUAGUCUGUUUUUCCUACCUUUGAUUCUGGGCUGCCCUGUGACUUGCUUUAACUAAUAGAAUGCAGCAGAAGUGAUGGUGUGCCAUUUCCGAGCCUAGCACAAGAGCUCAAGAGGUCUCGUACAUGGCUAUUUCUUCUUGAAACCCUGCCCAGAUACCCUGUGAAUAAGACCAGGGUAGUCUGCUGGAGGAUGAGCAACAAUGUGGAACAGAGGUAAGAUGUCUCAACAGAGGCCAUCUUCACUAGCCUGUCCUUGGCCAACUCAGCAGCUAAAAGGAGAUGAGUGAGUGAGAACAGGCAACAUCAGGGGAACCAUACAACUGAGCACAGCCUAAAUUGUUGACCAAAACAAUCAUGAGCUAAAGAAGUAGUGGUUGUUUCAAGCUACUAAGUUUUAGUAUGGUUUGUUAUGCAGCAAUAGCUAACUGAUAUACUGGCCUGGAAAUUUGACCAAAUUUUAUGCUUUCUAUUCUCUUUUGUUGCUGCCUCAACAAAUAUUUGUGUAUAAAGAAGACUUAGCAUUGUUGGUAAUCACCUCUGCUGCUCUUGGCAGAGUGAUCAUUGCUAGCGGAGACUAUCCUAAGUCAGUCCUUGAAGUCACCAUCAGGCUUCCUCCUUUUUGGUGAAAGAUGCAAACCACAACAGUCUGUCCUUUACUUUGCACGGAAUGUCCUGUCAUACCUCUGACCACUGGAACCCUAAGCAUUUUACUGAUUUAGCGAGCCCCUCAGUCUUCAUAGGGUUUCCCUCUCGCCCUCUGGGACACAUGUGUAAGGCCUCCAGUGUACUAGCUACUUCUUGCUCAUCUGGUCCAACUAGAAGAUGCUGUCAGUGUGACAUCCUGUGGGAUCCCCAGAUGUGCACAUCUCUUCAGACUAUAUUAUGACAGAGGGUAGAAGAGCUAACAUAGUCCUGGGGCAAAACUGGAAUAUUUUUGUCCUUUUAGUUUGAAUGCAAACAGUUUCUGAUUUUCUUUUCCACUAAAGAUAGAGAGGAACGUCUUCUCCAUAUCAAUAACUGUGUAGCCUAUACCCGAGACCUAUUAAUCUCCCCAGCAAAGACACCACUUCUGGCAUGGCAACAGCAAUGGGGACCACUACUUUGUUGAGUUUGAGUAGUCUGCUGUCAUUCUCUAGGAUCUGUCUGGUUUCUGCACGUCCAGAUUGAUCAAUUAAAAGGAGAUAUGAUGGGGACCACUACCCCUGCAUGCUUUAAAUCCUUGAAGGUGGUACUUAUUUCAGCUAUCCCCCCUGGAAAUUGAUAUUUUCUUUGAUUUAGUGCACAUGUGGGCAGGGUAGGAGGGAGAAGCAGCCUCAGAAGUUUGUACUUGGCUCUCCCCGUAAUGGUAGUUCUUAUCCCACAGGCCAAGGACUCAGUGUUAGUUGGUUGCUCUGACUACCAAUAAGUCUGUCCCAACUGUACAUUUGAGGAUGAGAGAAACAAUUGCCAACUGGGUCUGUAGAACUGGUAGAUACCUGCUGAGUUAGAUGUUGGUCCGAUGCCAUUAUUCCUGGUCCCCAUAUGCUCCCAUUUCAACAGAAGGGCCACAGUAAUGCUUCAGUCCUCCAGCUAUCAGUGUAAACUGAGACUCGGUCGGCAAUAUUCUGAGAUAUAUUUGGGUAUUCCCCUUGCCUUGUGUACAGUUACCUGAAUAAAUGGCUGAGGUCCUUUGGGGAAAGACUGGAGGAAUCAUUGCCAUGUUCAUUUGCCAUUGUGUUACAGGAUCUGUCCUCCUAGGGACUCAGUCUCCUUUUUAAUCAAUGAGGUGCUGUCUGAAAACUGGCUAAAGUCUGGAAACUAUGAAAGGGAUCAAGACCCUUUAUGGGGCUGACACUCCUUAGUCUCCUGGUCAUGCAUCAUUGGUUCUUUUGCAGGUGUAAGAAAGAAGGUGUAUGCCCUGGGGAAAUGAAAGAGACUCACAGCCCCUCUGCAAACCUGCAUCUCGGUAGCCUCUGUGGCUUCCCCACCUCACAGCGAGUUCGUUUCUUCUCCUCCACACCAGGGACAAUCAGUCCACUCUCCCUGUGGGCAGAUAUCUCAUCCCCGUGGGCAGUGUCGUGAAGAGCCUCUAGGCUGACGGAUGCAUUUGGGAACUCAUUCUAAAAUGAAGACGUGAUGGAGUUGAUGGGGAACACAUAGAACCGGGACAAGUCUCUGACUCAAGAAAUCAGUCUGCUGGGAAGGAUUCAUAGCAAUUGUGACUUUUUAAAAGCUGAGCUUGAAUAAUAAUUAUAAAAAGUUAUUGACAUAAUAAAAGAACAAAAGGACUUAUGUGAUGAGCAAUAGUUCCUGGCCUGCCCCUGCCCCUCACCCCCAGUUCUGCCCCUCCUCAUUCCCAAGGGCUUUACCUUUAACUGUUUCUGUUUUUGGUUACCUCUGGUGGUCAAGCCCAUGUUUCUAAAUAAAUACAGCACGCCGCCGUCAGUUCCUAUCGCCCCUUGCCCACCCCUCUUGCCCCUCCCAGUACAGCUGUAUCACUGCUUUUCCCUCUAAUGCUACUAUGGAAACUUCCUCUCUAGAUGAAUGAAAAUAAAACUGAAUCCUAACCUUA